GACGAACGCUGGCGGCGUGCCUAAUGCAUGCAAGUAGAACGCUGAAGGAGGAGCUUGCUUCUCUGGAUGAGUUGCGAACGGGUGAGUAACGCGUAGGUAACCUGCCUGGUAGCGGGGGAUAACUAUUGGAAACGAUAGCUAAUACCGCAUAAGAGUAGAUGUUGCAUGACAUUUGCUUAAAAGGUGCAAUUGCAUCACUACCAGAUGGACCUGCGUUGUAUUAGCUAGUUGGUGGGGUAACGGCUCACCAAGGCGACGAUACAUAGCCGACCUGAGAGGGUGAUCGGCCACACUGGGACUGAGACACGGCCCAGACUCCUACGGGAGGCAGCAGUAGGGAAUCUUCGGCAAUGGACGGAAGUCUGACCGAGCAACGCCGCGUGAGUGAAGAAGGUUUUCGGAUCGUAAAGCUCUGUUGUAAGAGAAGAACGAGUGUGAGAGUGGAAAGUUCACACUGUGACGGUAUCUUACCAGAAAGGGACGGCUAACUACGUG
rnacentral:rRNA from 1 species